AUAGGGAGGCUUCUAGUGCUUGAAGAGGCUAACACAGAAAGGUAAAAUAAAUCUCCAUAAAAGCCAGGGGAGAAAUUGUGAAACUCUUCUUUGGAUCCUGUCUGGAAUUACAGUU
ensembl:snoRNA